CAGUAUAUAAGCAUCCCACCUUGGCAGGAAGUGAGAUGAAAAGGGAAUAAAGAAAUUCUAAGGAGAGAAAGAACUACCGAUGCUUAAAGUAGGAGAUAACACUGCGGAGCUGGAAGAAGACAGCAGGCCAGGCAGCAUCAGACGAGCGGGAAAGCUGACGUUUCGGGUCGGGACCCUUCUUCAGAAACUACAGCCUGGCCAGCUAAGUAUUCCUGAGUAACGCUUCAAUUUAAGUGCAGUAUUGCGCUAGUAGAAAGUGGAGUACAAGUCUUUGAAUUUGAGGUGCUACAAUGGACUUGCUAAGCAUAUAGCCACUGACUCAGUAAUGCCUCCCACCUGGCCUGAAAUUUCAAUUACUGCUAAGCCAUUCUUGUUCAAGAAUGAACAUGAAGAUUUCUAGCAUUAUGGCAUUAUUAUGAAGACUGGCCUACUCUUGUUUCCAUGUUUGUAAUGGUGGAACAGGUUUGAAGAGAAGCACAAUUUCAGCUAAUCAGUGACAGGAGUUGUACCUAAAGGAAUUAAGGGGAAAAGAUGUUGUUGUGGCUUUCUGGAGGUGGGGUAUUGUUCCCCUGAGACACCUUUGGCCCCAGGAAUGAUUGUUACUCUGCUACAUGAGGAGAAGCUGAUAUUUGGUCUCUUUGGGAGAGAAAACCAGUUCCAGAAAGGAUCUAGUGAAUACUGCAGAAAUUUGCAAGAGGGAAACUGGUUGCAAUGGAGUCAGCCUGAGCUGACUCCUUCAAGUGGAGAGACUGGUAAAUUUACCAAUCAAGUUUUGAUGUUUGUAGAGCUACUAGUGUGGGUUUGAAUCCUUUUCUAGUGUUUCUAAUGAAUUUGCAACUUUUUCUAACUUUUUUAUCUGGCAUAAUCUAAUUCAUAAAACAAAACUGGAUGC